CACACUCUGAUUACAGACCAAACCAUGAGAGGGAAGGGGAGAGAUAGAGAGCGAGGAGAGGUGCAGAGAAAGAGACGAGACGGAUGGCGAGAAACAGAGCGAGAGAGAUGGCUAGGGCCAACAAGAUUUUCAACCCGAUGACUGUAUAAAGGAAUGGUCAAAGCCAUCGAUCACGUGACACCAUUCGUUCCUAUGUCAAGACUCAACAGCGCAUUGAAACCAAAUGAGCAUCAGUAGAACAUGCUUGACACUCUUCCACCAGUCACACAAGGAGAAUGGUCUAAUGCCUCCCUUCAAAAAGAGAGCUGGCCCAAGCAAGAACAGGUUACACCUGAAGCAUGCGGACUUGCAGCGAGUGGUGAACUUCAUCAACAACUACAGGAUAAUGCAACAGUAUUACCAGGAUGCCACCCAGGACACAGGCUCUUUGGUGGAAAGCUGUUGUCAUGUGACAAAAGCAGUGGUGUGGCGUCUCUACAAGGAAUCGAUGACAACACUUGAGGGUUCCAGGCUGCCUUUCAUUACGCACACCUGUCACCAUCAUUAAGCGCAUCAGAGCUCAUUGGACUCACCUGGACUCCACUCCAGCUCGUCGGACUCCUGAGCCUCAGCCGGCUCAUUGGGCUCCCUUGCCUCAGCCGGAACGCCAGGUUCCCAUGCCACAGCCGGCUCGUCGGGCUUCUACGCCCCAGCCGGCUUGUCCAGCGCCCAUGCAUCGACUGACCUAUGCCUCGGCCGACUACUCCCGCUUUCCCUCUCUGAUGCUCGAGGGCGCCAGGCUGCCUUUCAUAACGCACAUCAGUGCUCAUUGGAAUCACCUGCAAUCCUUCACGUUUUGAUUGCCUUCCCUAUAUCGGUCUGUUUCCUCUGUUUCAUCCCCCUGUCAGCAUUACUGUCGUUUUGGUUUUCCCCUUUCCAGACACUGUCUGUAUUCUCUUCCUAUUCGUGUUUCAUUAAAUUUUCACUCCAUGUACUUGCUUCUCGACUCCAGCGUCUGUCAUCACAAGUUCUGUAUUUUCCAGAGGUAUGUGUAGUUGGGCUAUCUUCCGUCUGGAAUCGGUGGGGAAAAUUGCUUCCCCA